ACCCGCUGAACUUAAGCAUAUCAAUAAGCGGAGGAAAAGAAACUAACAAGGAUUCCCCUAGUAACGGCGAGUGAAGCGGGAAGAGCUCAAAUUUGAAAUCUGGUGGCCUCAGGUCAUCCGAGUUGUAAUCUAUAGAAGUGUUUUCCGUGCUGGCUCAUGUACAAGUCCCUUGGAACAGGGCGUCAUAGAGGGUGAGAAUCCCGUCCUUGACAUGAACUACCAGUGCUCUGUGAUACAUUUUCAACGAGUCGAGUUGUUUGGGAAUGCAGCUCAAAAUGGGUGGUAAAUUCCAUCUAAAGCUAAAUAUUGGCGAGAGACCGAUAGCGAACAAGUACCGUGAGGGAAAGAUGAAAAGCACUUUGGAAAGAGAGUUAAACAGUAUGUGAAAUUGUUGAAAGGGAAACGAUUGAAGUCAGUCGUGCUCUUUGGAUUCAGCCGGUUCUGCCGGUGUACUUCCUUUGAGUGGGGUCAACAUCAGUUUUGAUCGCUGGAUAAAGGCAGGAGGAACGUAGUACCCUCGGGUAAACUUAUAGCCUCUUGUCACAUACAGCGGUUGGGACUGAGGAACGCAGCACGCCUUUAUGGCCGGGAUUCGUCCACGUACGUGCUUAGGAUGUUGACAUAAUGGCUUU
rnacentral:rRNA from 1 species